rnacentral:rRNA from 1 species
UACGGAGGGUGCGAGCGUUAUCCGGAUUUACUGGGUUUAAAGGGUGUGUAGGCGGCCUGUUAAGUCAGUGGUGAAAUCCCGGGGCUCAACCCCGGAACUGCCAUUGAUACUAUCAGUCUUGAAUACUGUGGAGGUGAGCGGAAUGUGUCAUGUAGCGGUGAAAUGCUUAGAGAUGACACAGAACACCGAUGGCGAAGGCAGCUCGCUACACAUAUAUUGACUCUGAGGCACGAAAGCGUGGGGAGCAAACAGG